rnacentral:rRNA from 1 species
UACGGGGGGGGUAAGCGUUGUUCGGAAUUACUGGGCGUAAAGGGCUCGUAGGCGGCCAACUAAGUCAGACGUGAAAUCCCUCAGCUUAACUGGGGAACUGCGUCUGAUACUGGAUGGCUUGGAUCCGGGAGAGGGAUGCGGAAUUCCAGGUGUAGCGGUGAAAUGCGUAGAUAUCUGGAGGAACACCGGUGGCGAAGGCGGCAUCUUGGACCGGUAUUGACGCUGAGGAGCGAAAGCCAGGGGAGCAAACGGG